rnacentral:rRNA from 1 species
GGAUGCGAUCAUACCAGCACUAAAGCACCGGAUCCCAUCAGAACUCCGAAGUUAAGCGUGCUUGGGCGAGAGUAGUACUAGGAUGGGUGACCUCCUGGGAAGUCCUNUAAUAUUCU